rnacentral:rRNA from 1 species
AUUGAACGCUGGCGGCAUGCCUUACACAUGAAAGUCGAACGGCAGCACGGGAGCAAUCCUGGUGGCGAGUGGCGAACGGGUGAGUAAUAUAUCGGAACGUGCCCAGUCGUGGGGAUAACGUAGCGAAAGCUACGCUAAUACCGCAUACGAUCUAUGGAUGAAAGCGGGGGAUCGCAAGACCUCGCGCGAUUGGAGCGGCCGAUAUCAGAUUAGGUAGUUGGUGAGGUAAAGGCUCACCAAGCCGACGAUCUGUAGCUGGUCUGAGAGGACGACCAGCCACACUGGGACUGAGACACGGCCCAGACUCCUACGGGAGGCAGCAGUGGGGAAUUUUGGACAAUGGGCGCAAGCCUGAUCCAGCAAUGCCGCGUGCAGGAUGAAGGCCUUCGGGUUGU